rnacentral:lncRNA from 1 species
CCCAUUUUCUCUUUUAAAUGAUCUUCUUCAGAGCCGACUUUGAAGAUUUCUAAGACAGCUAGCAGGAGCCCAAGUUUCAGUCUACGAGUCCUGGCAGAGAGGGAAAUACAGUAACCAUAUAAAGUUACACAAGCAAACUUAAGUGUAACCGGGCUAGAUUUGCAUAUGUAGCUGCUACGUGGAUUCUCCUAAAUUCUGGAAACACUAAACAAAGAAGGAAAAUGAGCUGGCAAGCACAACCUGGCAAUGAAGUAAAACUGCCCAGCGGGCCACAAACUGCUGAAUGCAUCCAUGCUACAAUGAACAGCACGUUCCAGAGAGAUCCACAGCAGCGCAGAAGAAAAAAAUAUGAAAGAAACAAAAAAGCAAAGAACGCAGAAUCACUUAGAGGAGAGAGUAAUCCUCUAGGCCACCAGACUUCCAUAUUUAUCUUCCCUACAUUGAAAAGCAUGGUCUUCUCUCCCCUAGGAUCCCUGACUAUUCUGAUUCUACUACCAUGCUUUAAGAUGCCAUUCCCGACAGUCCCCAUCAGACGUUAUCCUCACAAGAAGAAUCACAUGUGUCCUCAUGAUGGGACAAGUCUCCAAAAUCUUUGAAGUUUCUGCCAGCAAAACCAAAGAGAAAGCACCAUGCCGCGUGUAUGAGAAGGUUUAGUUAUAGCUCAGAUCUGGGAUGAAAUCAACCUGCGAUGAUUUCUGCAUGGUAUGAGAAAAUAUAAAGGACAAGUGGAGUUUGUUUAGUUUCAAAGGCUUUCAUUUUUCCCUCAUGAUUUUUGUAAAAAAAGUGAUAUAGUAAGCUAAUUUUCCUGUUCUGUAUCUAACUCUGAUGAGCACAGGGGGAAGUUUUUAUUUUGUUGGCUAAAAUGCCAGAUCUUCCUUAAAGCCCCUCCUAGGAAAAUGAUGUAAGUAAAGUUAAUGAAAAGGGAGACCAUUGAGACAAAUACUUUGAAUGAUCCAUACAGUCAUUUAACACAAUUGUUGAACAAUAGUAUAUCCCAGUUACUGUCAUAGGACCUGAGCCAAUAAAAGAUGAAUAACAUUGAGCA